UAAUAAUGCUCUUUGGUCGCCGGCGGCCGCCGCCUUAAUAAUGCUCUUUGGUCGCCGGCGGCCGCCGUCUUCAUAAUGCUCUCUCGUCGCCGUCACCGUCGCCGUCGCCGCCGUCUUCAUAAUGCUCUGUAGUCGCCGUCGUCGCCGUCUUCAUUAUGCUCUCUAGUCGUCGCCGCCGCCGCCGCCGCCGCCGCCGCCAUCUUCAGCAGAGUAAGACAAAGCUUACUUUAGCCACAAAUUCACCGUUGAGAAAACACAGUAUAUGAUUGCCCAUCAUAACGUUUAGGGUUAGGGUGUCAUGAAAAAACCCCAUCAAACAUCAACACAAUAUAUCUAUUCUAUAUAUAUCUACAACAGACUUGGAUAGUCGUGUGCAAGAAUAACCUAUUUACGUGGCUUAAAACAAGUAAUUUAACAGAUAUUUCUUUCAUAGACAGUCCCGCAAAGCACGCUGGGAUGUGCGCCUAUCGACUCUACAUUAUGAAGAGGACAAGGAACUGCUGAUUAUGAUACGGGCGAGGGAGGAUGUCAAUUAAGGGCCUCAAUUCUUUCAUUUCUUCUCCUUAAAAAUUAUUUUUAUGUCAAUCUUGGCUAUGUUAUUUGUAUCAUGUGUCAUUUGUGUGCUCUCAACAUACACUUGUCAGUCCCAAAUACAGUCAACUUCAUCUAUGUAUGUCCGUCACAGGCCACCGUACUGAUCCGCCAGUCAGCGAUGACGUUACGUGAAAUACAACUAAUCAAAUAAAAACUCUUUUUUCACAGCACCCUACGAACGGUGCCCAAGGUGCUUCAGGAAAGUAUUAGAAAGUAUUUAAGUACUUUGAAAGUAUUAUUUCUCUUGUUAUAGUGUGUAAAAUCAUUGUGAAACACGACGUCACAUCCGCGCUGAAACUUCCUGUUUGCACUUCCUGGUUUCGUCCGGAACAUGGCGCCGACCAUCCCAAUCACGCUGUGUCAAUCUGUUUGCAGCCAAGCUCAAGUAUUCUACAGGGAAUGCCGUAAGCAUGUGUUUGGCCAGCUAUUGUCGGCCGGGUUGAGCGUGAACCAGGAAGUGCGGGGAUCUCGUGUGUUCUCUCGUUGCUGGGUAGUCGAAAAAGAAAGUUGCCGGGAAGCAGCAGGCAACCGUCUUUCUUUCCCUGACGAAAUCAGGCCGCCCCUUACCACGCAUCGUUUUCAUUGGCGCCAACCUCAUUCGGCAUCGAGUCGGCGUUCCAACACCCUGACGGAGAACACCGGAGUUGCCAUCUAACUCUGACGCCACACAAGCAAUGCUACAAGUCCAGUCCAGGAAGAAGCAGCCUGGCCGUCUGUCUGACAUCAUCCGUGUCCACCAGCAGACUCUUGCGAUGUUCAGCGUGAACUAUGGCCACUCUGAUCCACUCCAUCAGAGGCGGCAGCAACAGGAAUGGCCUGCGGAUGGAAAAAAGGAGGAAGAAUUCCGGCUUACUCUGCAACUUGGACCAGUUGUAUCAUGUCUCCGUGUCAGACGUGAUGCUCGGGGAGGAUUUGCUGAUAUGUUGCAUGAUUCAGUCACAUUUAAAGCAAACUCAUGUAAACUGUCAUCAAAUAUGACGUGUGUGUGUCUGGCAGCUCUUCCCCUGAACCGUGACUCACUUAUUACUGCUUGUAUUCUCUCCCAUACACACACUCACACUCACACUCACGUCAGUCAGUUAACCGUAAAUGUAGACUCCUUCCUGUACGGUGCUGUAGUUCUAUGUACAUAAAAGGUGAACGUUAGUGUGGAAGGACAAGAGAAAACGGCAACUAAAAAAAGAACUAAAACGCUAACAACAGAAGUGACCGACAAAUUGAAUGAAACGAAAAUGUUGGUAGAAGAAAGCGGCUUUCAUCUCCGAGAAGUCCAAGAAUAAACAUCAGUGGGAACGUGCGUUACGGAAUGUGCCCAUGCUGACUGUGAUUGAAAAAUCAGCUCCGUGCUCAUUAAUAACUGCCCACAAACGUAAUACAAAUCUGCAGCUUUGAAUGUAAUAAUCCCGCAAAUUUAAUAAAUUUCCCACAAACAUAAUAAAAUUUACUCACUGCAAACGUAUUACUGAAUUUACUGAAAUUAUUACAUUUUGUUUGUGCGUUUUAGUUACAGUAUAUUAAUGUAUGUGUGAUUUUGUGUGUGUAUGCGGAAGAAAUAAUCAAAAGAAAUAAUAAAAUAUAAUAAUAAUAAUAAUAAUAAUAAUAGUAAUAAUAAUUUUAUUACAUAUUAACAUUGCAAUUAUCACAAUAAUUUAAAUUUAAUUUAAAAUAAAUUAUAAUUUCAUAAUUAAAGAAUCCUUUAAUGUAUUCAAAUUAUACUAUUUGAAUAAUAUUUCUUCCACAAAAAAAGAAAAAAAAAAGAAUUAUCUUGUUAAAAUCCUCAAAAUUACAUCUACACAUUUGCCCUCAUUCAAAGAAGAAAGAACAAACAACAACAACAAACCACAUUAUUUUGUCUCAGAUUACAUUUGUGGGAAGUUAUUACAUUUACAGAUUUUCACUUUCCCACAUAUGUAAUAAUUUCCUGAAUACUGAAUUUCCUGCAAAUAACUAUUAAAUUUAAUAACUAUUAAAUUUGCAGGAAAUUCAGUAUUCAGUAUGUUUGCAGUAGGCAAAUUUUAUUACGUUUGUGGGAAAUGUAUUACAUUUGUGGGAUUAUUACAUUCAAAUCUGCAGAUUUCGCUAUUUAGCUAUUAUUAUUAUUAUUAUUAUUAUUAUUAUUAUUAUUUAGCUAUUAUUAUUAUUUAGCUGCAUUUUUUCCCAGCUAAUAGAAUGUGAACAUUUGAGCAGGAUCUUAAGACAUAAUUUUAUUUAUUUGUUUUUUAUGUUGGUUUUUUUUUUGGUAAAUUUAAAGCUGGAUGUUAAAGCUUUAUUUAUCCAAAUGCUACACUUUAAGUUUUUUUUACAGAGGAGAGUUUGUGAUACAGCAUAACAUACUGUUCUAAUGGAAUAAAAAUGUGUUUAGUAAGUGCAUAUUGCUGGUGUAAUUCAGUUUUUUCCAGGAAAUAAUCUUUAACUACAAGAAAAAAAAAUAUCGCCUUGUUAGCAGUAUCGUGAUAUAUUGUAUCGUGAUACGUAUUGUAUCGCCAGAUUCUUACCAAUAAACACCCCUAUAUCCAACAUAUCUAACA